AUUGAACGCUAGCGGGAUGCUUUACACAUGCAAGUCGAACGAGUGGCGGACGGGUGAGUAAUAUAUCGGAAUGUGCCCAGUAGCGGGGGUUAACUACUCGAAAGAGUGGCUAAUACCGCUUACUAUUGGAGCGGCCCAUAUCGGAUUAGCAAGUUGGUGGGGUAAAGGCUUACCAAGGCCACGAACCGUAGCUGGUUUGAGAGGACGACCAGCCACACUGGGACUGAGACACGGCCCAGACUCCUACGAGAGGCAGCAGUGGGGAAUUUUGGACAAGGGGGGAAACCCUGAUCCAGCCAUCCCGCGUGUGUGAGAAGGCCUUCGGGUUGUAAAGUACUUUUGGCGGAGAAGCGGUAUCUGCAGAAUAAGCACGGGCUAACUACGUGCCAGCAGCCGCGGUAAUAC
rnacentral:rRNA from 1 species